UUUCGCAGGCGGACCACUAAGUUACGUUUUAAAGCCAACAGCUCAACUGUUGAGAUGGACGUAAUACUGAUGGUCUUGAGGGUAUCAGGGGGGACUGGAAUUCUCGGUGGAGGGGUGAAAUCCGUUGAUAUCGAGAGGAACGCCAAUGGCGAAGGCAAGUCCCUGGGGUACUCCUGACGCUCAGGUACGAAAGCUAGGGGAGCAAACGGGAUUAGAGACCCCGGUAGUCCUAGCUGUAAACUAUGGAUACUAGAUGCUCCAUUCGCUCAGACCAUAAACAUUAGUGUUUGUGAGUUGAGCGGAUGGGGUGUCGCAAGCUAACGCGUUAAGUAUCCCGCCUGGGUAGUACGGCCGCAAGGCUAAA
rnacentral:rRNA from 1 species